UCACUGGCACCAUAACUGGGAUUCACAGACUUUCUGCUGAGUUUUGAGGUUAUGGAAAACCCAUGUGCCUGUAUGACAGAGUUCUGUCCAUGGGAAAAAGGAGACUUAGAGGAGGGUGUCUGGGGUGUUGUGUCAGGGCCAGAGACUGAGCUACGGGCAAAUAAUACAGUACGUUCCCAGACUUGCGUCAGAGCCCAAGAGGAAGGAAGAGCGCGGUGAAAGCUGAGGAAGUCAUUUAUGUAACGGACUCUGUGAGAUCAGAGACAAGGAGUAAAAUGCCUGAGCUCAAGUGACAACAAGCAACCCCAGACUAGAGACAGGAUCCUUCUCCCCACUUCGAGCAGAUCCCAGCAUGAAUCCUGCAGUAUGGUGAUGGCAAAAGUCAGUGCAGGACCACUGGGACUCCUGGAGCUUCUCACAUCUCUGAGAGCACCAGCAGCAGUCCCCAGAUAGCAGAUGACUGGUAGGAAGAUGAGGCAAGUUUGCGGUCCAUUGUCAUGGAUAGUGGAGACAACACUGGGCCAGAAGUGGUAAGACCUGAAUCCAAGACUCAGCUCUGCCACUUGCUAAAUGGGACUUUGAAUAAACCAUUUCUCUGCACUUAAGUUCCUUACCAACAAAACGAGGGAAGUGGCCUACAUGCCUAGAUAUCAACAUUUCAUGUCACGUAGAGAUCUAGCAUCACAAGAAUCCAAGUCAUCCUCUGUUGCCUUUAAGAUUUCAGCAUGGUGAAGGAAAAGUAGCAGAAGACUGAAUGCAUACUCAGUUUUCAAGCUCUGGAUUUAAUCUUUCCAUAGCUGGAAUUGCCUCCUCCUCAAAAGCCUUAUUUGUUCAUUUAAUUGGGGCAACAUGAAAUAAUGAUGUAUCAUUGACAGAGAACAGGGGGCUUAGGUUCUCAUCUUGGUCCUAGUGAUUACUCUAUGCAUAACCUCAACUUCUUUAUCUGUACAUUGGGAACAAUAAUUCUUACUCCACUUGUUGUGUUGAAACUGAAUUAUAUAAUUCAUAAAUUAAAACACCAAAUUCUGAUAAAUGCUAAAUGCCAUUUUCUUAUCUUGUUCUUUCCUAUAAUGCCCAUUUUGAUAUAAACCAGGCUCCCUAGUCAGUCUUGCAGAAGGUAUUCUCAAGAAGAACUUAUAUCUUUGGUUUAUCAACAAAUUUGCAAAGCUGUGUUGAUAAUCUAGAGCUGAGUCUUUUAACAAGUUUUAACAAUAUCUCAAUUACUAUGAUGUAGGUCUCUUAAUAAAAUGUAAAUGUAAAUGUGACAGAAGUCAACAUUAGGACUUUUAGGAAGGGAUAUAGACACUCAACAUUCCUCUUUGUUCAGGAGGGUGACAUAGCACAGCUUGCCACCUGUGAGCUAACCUUAUCUAGAACACAGCAUAGGAACUACUGCUUGACUAGAAAACUAAUUUAUAAAGCUUAAGGAACUUAAGGGACUUUCAGGGACUAAUUUACCAUCAUAAAAUAUCUAUCUCUACGAAGAAAGAAGAGAGUUUUAAGUACUUGAAAAUAAAAAUCUUAUAUUUUAGACUUUUUGAGUGAAACUUCUUCACCCUUGCAAUAGACUGGCCAGAAAAAGAGUGAUUGCCAUCUCCCAUCUCUUAGAAUAGCAUGCUUGCCUGCAGACUCUGUGGCCAUGUUUCAACAACUGGAUUAGACCUCUUUCAAUAUCAAAUCCAUAUCUGAUCAAUUUCAAGUUGUUCCUGUCCCUUGGGAGUGGUUUGCCAUUUCCUGCCUAUGACUGAAUUCCUGCUUUCUUCUUAUCCUCAAUAGCUCAUGGCACGGACAUUCUCGUGUGCCUUGUCCACAUCAUGACCCUGCUAUCCAUUUGGGUGACCUCCACACUUUGUGUUUCCCACUUUCAUAUCACAUGAGACUCUCAAGGAGAGAGUUUCAGGAUGGGUAAAGCUAAGAAGUAAAAAUAGAAAAGGUGGUGAAAAUUCAGUAGACUAGCAUACAGGUUGACAGAAGAACACAUUUAUUUUCUAGUGGGGAGUGAUCCGUGAAGAAAGACCCGAAUCAAGAAGUCUUUCAGAAUUCUGGUUUUAAUAGUUUCCCAAAUUUACUUAUUAACAUUUACAUUCAAGCCAGAGAGAAAAGAGAGGAAGUCAUUCAAGAGAAAAUUGUCACAAGAAGAGCCUAUCCAAUGGAAAUGGCCACCUCUUAUUGAUCACUUACCAUAGGCUGGGUGUAUAGGGCAAGGGUCCUUAAGAUUAGCUGCAUAGCAGAAUCACCAAGGGAACUUUUACAAAUCCUGAUGCCAGGGCUAACUGCAGACCAAUACAGGUGGAAUCCAACAUAUUUAAAGCUACAUAAGUCAUUUCAAUGUGCAGCUAAUUUUGAGAGCCACUUUCAAUGGUGCUAGAGCCAGCUCUUAUUAGCUCACAGAAGCCAAUUAUUAAAUUUUCAGUAAUUCUGUAAGCGAAACACAUUGGCCACAGAGGGAAUAUUUACACCAUGGAAACUUACAAAUGCUGCAAAUCGUUUUUUUAUCUCUCUGGAGAACUAGUUUUUAAACAUUUAUAAACACACUGGUGGCCCUAAGGGGUAAACAUAUAACUUGCUAUUUAAAUCUGGGCAAUUUUAAGACACAUAGAGGGGAACAAAACAUACUGGAGCCUGCCAGAGGGUGAGGGGUGUGAGGAGGUAGAGGAUCAGGAAGAAUAACUAACGGGUACUAGGCUUAAUACCUGAGUGAUGAAGUAAUCUGCGUAACAAACUCCCAUGACAACACAAGUUUACCUGUGUAACAAACCUGCACAUGUACCCCUGAACUUAAAAUAAAAGUUAAAAGAAGAAAAAGCACAAAAAAAAAGAACAGAAAGAAGACAUUGUUAAUAAUUAUGCCAGGACAAUUAGCUUGAAUCAGAAAUUAUGAUCACUUUAAGUAUCUAGGUAGUUAAUACUCACAAUACCUAUGAAAGACAGUUAUCAUAAUGGCCAUUUAAUGAUUAGUCAACAGUGUCUUGGGGAAUUUAAGUAAGUUUCUCAAAUUUCUUUCACAGAAAUUAGAAUUAAAGGAAUCAGAAUUGAAGUGAAUCUGACUACACUAAGCCUAUCACUUGUGACAGCCAUGGGAAGAUAUCAUUGGUUGCUGAGGAGCAGAAAUAAGCAGAGACCUAUUGUGUUAGGUUAUCAUUCAUUUCAGACAAAAAGCAGAUCAGCAAGUUUUCAUAUUGCACUAUUUUCAAUGGCUGGAGCAUCAACAUUUUACAACAAGAAAAAAAUUAAAAUUCUUCAACAUUUGGAAAAGAAGUGUUUGUAAAACUUUUCACAUCCAUUCACCAUCCGGAAAAGCAAGGUUUUACAGUGAGGCCUGAUGAUGUCUAGAGUCACCAUGCAUCUUGGAAAAUGACCUCCUAUUUAUUUCUUCUACAGGACACCAUGGUGUUCACCUUUCUACAACUUUACACUUGCUGAGGACAUAUUGUGGAAAAUUAAGAGAAAUAUAUAUGGAUGGCCAAGGCUGUAGAUGGAUGUCCAAGCCUUUUUACUGGGGAAUGUUUUCAGAACAAAAUGAGUUACAGGUUCAAGAGUGAAACCCAACAAAUCUUGGCUCUUUUUUUCUCUACUAAAUUCCAAAUCAAAAGUAUUUAUGGAGUGCUUUUAAUGUGCCACGCACUGGGCUAGAGAUUCAUAAUUUUGAUGGGAAUCUGUGUAUUCAAACUCUUUUAACGUGGAAACCUUGCUUGUGCAAGGUCCUCCCAGAUCUUAUCCUACUUUAUCAAAGCUUGGCUAAAUGCAACAUGUCUUCUCCCCAGUGCCCUGGGUCUCUGUACACGCAGUAAAGUGGUCCUUAGACAUAUGCUGAAAUAGGGCUUAAUUUUCCCCAUAUACGAAUGAGAUAAAUUCUACUACAUGUAGCCAGACUUCGAUAGGGAGAACACCCAAAGUCACUUAAAAUAAAACUACACUUUCAUUUUUGCAAGCCAAAUAAUCCUGGAGGAAAUUGUGCUAAUUUUUUUUUCAAAUUUUCAGUUUACACAUUGGAGUUUUGACUUCAAUAUGUAAAAAGUGCAUGAAAAUGAAUGUAGUGCAUCUUUCCUCAUAUGCUCUGCAGUGAUGCGAACUGACUGCAUGGCUAGCUGGUCACCUGAUAAAGGGCACACAGAGAUUCUUGUAGUUCAUUAGGGAUUACUCCGAGGUUGAACACAGGUUUUUCUUUUUCUCAGAUAUAUAGGUAAGACUUGAACUUCAAUUUCCUGCAUAGUGAAUAUGGUUUCUAUUGUCAUGAUUGAGCUUUUUUCAUUUUAAACACUGAGAGCUUCUUUUGAGUUUGUGGGACCCACGCUUUUGGGCAAAGACUGCUUUCUCAAGGCACAUAUGUUCAGAUGUUCAGGUCAUGAUGCAGAGGUAUCAGCUGGGAGGUGCCCCAGGUAAGUUUGCUACUAAACUUCACCCACCCUCAUCUGAGAGGCCACGUCUCUUCCCCUGAGUCUGGGGAUCAUGACACUUUAUAUGUCAGCUACUUUCUUUUUUCGUUUUAUUUUAUUUUAUUUUUGAGAUGGAGUCUCACUCUGUCUCUCAGGCUGGAGUGCAGUGGCACAAUUUUGGCUCACUGCAACCUCUGCCUCCCAGGUUCAAGUGAUUCUUCUAACUCAGCCUCCCAAGUAGCUGGGAUUAUAGGUGCACGCCACCACACCCAGCAAAUUUUUGUAUUUUUUUUUUUUUAGUAGAGACAAGGUUCUGCCAUGUUGGCCAGGCUGGUCUCGAACUCCUGCCCUCAGGUGAUCCGCUCGCCUCGGCCUCCCAAAGUGCUGGGAUUACAGGUGUGAGCCACUGCACCCGGCCACAUCAGCUACUAUUUAAUGAACAUCUUUCCCUGGACAAGAACAAAACUCAAAGAAAUCCAACAGAUUGCAACUUAGUCCUGGGGAGAGAAAAGUCCACAUGUUAAGCAGAAAGCUGAACCACAUAGAAUUCAACCUUUGGUGCCGCUAGUGUUGACAAGGAAGGAUAGAUUCUCUGAGCUAGAGUAAUAAAGAAAGAGAAAUGAGAAACUAGUAUAUCUCCAAAGGUUCUCAAAGUAUUAUUCCUGGACCAGUAGCAUCAACAUUCCCUGAAAAUAUGUUGGAAUUAAAGAUCUCAGCCUCCACCCAGACUUACUGAAUCAGAAAUUCUGGAGCAGGGUCCACUAAUCCUUGUUUUAGUCUUCUGGGUGAUUCUGAUACACACUCAAGUUUGAGACCCUCUGUCUAGCUACACCAUGCUCUUUUUACUUCAACUCAUUAUCCCCACAACAUGAUGCCAUAAUAUAGGAGAUUACAUAGUGUCAGGCUUUGCUUAACUUAGGCUAAGUCUUUAGAUAGAUACAAAGAGGUCAUUCAAUUAGUGGUACCUAUUGGAUAGGGCUCUUAUACCAUCCAUUUUGUUCCGGCAGUUCUUAGCUCAGUUCCUGGGACACAAUAAAUGAUUAACAAAUAGAUAACUAGUUAUUGAAUGAGUGUGGAUUGAUGAAGUUUGAGUAUACACACACACACACACACACAGACACACACAAUGUGAGCCAUACAAGAGAAUGAACGGGAAAGCAAAUUUCUUCUUGAAUACUCAUAAAAUCAGCUUUUAAUACCAAAUAUUAUUUCUUUAGGCCAUAUCCCACUGGAGCCUGAAUUGCUACAAUAGCAUUCUGGAGAUUUUCCUCCUUUCUAGUAUUGGCCUAUCCUAAUGUAUUACAUAACUAGCUUUCUGGAAAAUAUUCCUCAAGGAUCACUUGCUUGCAUAACUUACUUUAGAAAUUCUUCAGUGUUUGAGUGUGUAGUUCUUUCUGUGCUGUGUGCCCAUUGUAUCUUGUGAAUUCCUGUCUACUAAGGUAAAUAUCUGUCCACAUGUCUCAUUCCUUCACUAAACUAAGAAAUCACUGUAAAGAAAAAUGUAUUAGUCUGUUCUCACACUGGUGAUAGAGACAUACCCAUGACCAGGCAAUUUACAAAAGAAAGAGGUUUACUGGACUUACAGUUCCACAUGGCUGGAGAGACCUCACAAUCAUGGCAGAAGGUGAAAGUCACGUCUCACAUGGCAGCAGACAAGAGAAGAGAGCUUGUGCAGGGAAACUCCCCUUUUUAAAACGAUGAGAUCUCAUGAGACUUAUUCACUAUCAUGAGAACAGCAUGGGAAAGACCUGUACCCAUGAUUCAAUUACCUUUUACUGGGUCCCUCCCACAACAGGUGGGAAUUUAAGAUGAGAUUUGAGUGGGGACACAGCCAAACCAUAUCAAAAAAUAAUUUAUUAAUUACCUUGUAUGAUUCUUUUUCCUAUUCCUGGGAUUUAGCACUGUUCCUAAAAUGACUUAUAAAAAUAUUUCAUGUGUAUUUAUGUAUAAGUACCACACACUAACAGAUUGCCCCACUGGAGCACCCAAUUUGUGUUUAUUUAAUCCGUGAAAACGAUUAGUUCCUGGCCAUGAAGUUUAUGCUCCUCCCAUAAUUUUAUGCCAGUUUUUCAGCCUUGUGAAUUUCCUCUUUUAUCCAUCACCUCAAUUAUUGUUUUUACAGGUGGAGUCUCACUAUGAUGCCCAGGCUGUACUUGAACUUCUAGGCUCAAGUGACCUUCCCACUUGAGCCUCUGGUAGCUGAGACUACUGGGGUGUGCCACCUUGCCUGGCUUCUCCUCUCACCUUUAGCUCAACAAGUCCUCUUGGAGUCCUCCUCUUACUCAAGCAGUGCUCAAGCCACCACUGGGUCAUACUUUACAUACCUUAGGGUGGCACUGUAUUUGAGGGUUCACAUUUAAAUGUGCCAAAUGCAUGCAAAGCCUGGUUUACAUUUAGGAGCUUUAUAUUUUUUUUGGCUUAAGGUCUGGUCUAUCUGGUCUAUAUGAAAAAUAGACUUCUUGAGCAGCCCCACCCUUUCUCACUUACAAACUUGUUCAUAAUUGGGCUUUAAAUAAAUAAAUAUUUACUUACUUAUUUACUUAAUGAGGUUGACAGCUUGGUGAGAUGUUUGACAAUGAUAAUUUCAAUAAUUUCUGUCAUUUUUAGUUCCAAGAGGAACCAUCACCCAGUUGAAACUGUGAACCUCUCUCACAAAGUCUAAGUAGCCCUUGAUUCAAGCUAUGGGCACCAGUCUCCACAUAAUCUACUCAGAAGCACUGUAGUGUGGAAAUUGGCAAUGUCUGCCUUCUCCAAAUCAUUCAAUAGAGUUUCAGCUUUUCUCAGGCAUUCUGCAUAUUUAUAAAAGUUAGCUCGAUGCAGUAUUCCAAUAAAACCACCAAUUAUAUGCCUUUCAAAGGAUGUCAUCUUCUGAAAGCGUUCCACAUGGCUAUAAUCUUAUUACCUCUGGUUGAAGUAGUCACAGACCAAACUAAACGGAACUGGACCAAGGGAAGAGGACACAGAAGGUAAAAGGAAGCCAGACCAGCAUGUUCUCCCACUCUAGUGCUCCUACCAAGAGGCUUUGAUAAGCAAUCACAAUUGUCCCCAGUGACAUGAAAGAAAAAGUGAAGCACCCUGUAGGGAUGCAUAGCAUGACAUCUACGUAGACUUGGGUCAUGGAAGGAAACUGUCACCACAUACAAGUUCAAGGGAAAUGUUCAGCCUCCAGGCCGCUGAAUGAAGCUCUGCCCAGGCCUUAGGAAAAGGUGAAACCCCAACUAGCAGGGGCCCCAGUUCACCAUAUCCAGGAAGGUGUCCUUGAACCAGAAAUACCCACGUUGUACUCCGACAUGAACAAGAAAUAGAUUUCUAUUAUAUUAAGCAACAGAAAUUUUCAGAUAUAUCAGUUCUCGCAGCAGGAAGGAUGUAUUGAUAAUGGCAACAUGGAUGGAGCUCAAAACAUCACAUUUAAUGAAAAAAGAGACUUACAUAAAAAAAUUAUAGACUAUAUUAUUACAUUCAAAUGAAGUUCAAGAACAAGCAAAAGUUGUGGAAAAAUAUCAGAAAACUUGCUUCUGCUGGAGGGGUAGGAUGGGAUUUGACUGGGAAGAGGCCUAGGGGAACAUGCUGGAAUGAUAUUAAUGUUCUAUUUCUUGAUGGAGGUUUGGGUUCCACAGGUGUAUGUAUUUGCUAAAAGUUAGCAAAUGUAGAGUUAAGGUUUGUGUUCUUCCUUGUGCAAUACAUUUUACACCAAAGGAAAGGCUGUAAACAAAUAUUGAACUGUAGUUAAUCAUAUGUAUGGAGAAAAACUUAAGGAAAAGACUUAUGAAUGCCUCAAGUUUAUUUAAAAAAGCAUUAAAAAUAAGAUUAAACAGGUAUUUAUGGAUAAACUACUGAAACUGAGAGAUAUUAACAGUAAAUAGUCAAAAUGUUCACUGUAAGAAUGAAAUUGAAAGGGAUUUGAACCCAGGUCUGUUUCACUGUAAAUCCUUGCUCCUGUGCUCUCUCAUGUUUAUUGGAAUUCAUGGGUAGAAAAUUUAAAUGCUCUGAAUCACUAUGAGAAGAAAGAUUCAGGAAAAAAAAAUGAAAGGCUAGAUUUCCAAAGAUAAGCCAGGUAAAUAUCAUGGAGAGUUGCAACAAUGUACUGCUAAUUAACUCUAAUACUUAGAGCUAAUGUCGAGUUUUCUGAGGGUUGUGACAUUCAUACAUGACUAAUUAACCUACACAGCAAAUCCAUUUCACUAGCUGCCAUGACACAGCCAAUCAAGACUAGCUCACUGUUUGCUCAUUUGGAAAAUGAUGAGGAUUCCCAUUUAGACUUAAUUACACUACAAAGAUUGACAAUUAUCUUCUCUAUAGAAGCAUCAGAUGUUUCGAUAUUAUACUGAACAUGUGCCUAUAAUUAUGUCCAUAAUUUGUCUAGCAGAAAAUGUAACCCAGUCAUUACUGAGAUCUUAUGCCUGUAAUUAGAUAUCAAAAAAAAAAUACCAAAUGGGAAAAGUGGGUUGUUGGGAUGUUAGGACCAUUACAAUGUGAGAAUCUGUAUGAAGCUAUUAGUGGGAACUCAGUAGCAACCAACAUCUCUUGGAUUGCUGCCCUCUAUUAAAAAUAAUCAGGAAGUGUGAGAGAGGGGAAAAUGAUGGCAGAGUAAAACCAUAGUACAAUCGCUUUUCCAAUACUUGACUGCAGUCAUUAAAAAUCCCAUAGGCACCUCAAAUUCAACACAUUUGAAACCGACUCAUUAGCCACCUUUGCCCCACUAUAGCUACUCCUUUUCCUGUGUUUGCUUUCUUAGACGAUUGCAAAGCAUUGUAGAGUCAUCUGCAACAAUUGUUCUCUCACUCCUUUCUCCUAAUCAAACCUCCGUGAUUCUGAUUACUAAUUUUUUCUAAGUGUGUUGCUCCUCUCUAUGCUGUGACUCUUCCAUUGUCUGCCUUCAUCAUCCUUGUAUGGUCAAUUUCAAGAGCACGUAUAAGAACGGUGCUGCAUCUGAAUGUUCACUCAUAAGUGGGAGUUGAACAAUGAGAACACAUGGACACAGGGAGGGGAACAUCACACGCUGGGGCCAAGCGGAGGGAGAGCAUUAGGACAAAUACCUAAUGCAUGUGGGGCUUAAAACCUAGAUGAUGGGUUGAUGGGUACAGCAAACCACUAUGGCACAUGUAUACCUAUCUAACAAGCCUGCAUGUUCUGCACGUGUAUUCCAGAACUUAAAGUAUAAUAAUAAUAAAAGAAGAAUGGUGCCGCUUUCCUCAAAUGUCUCCACCGUGUCACUUAUCUUCUGAAUUUCUCCCAGUAUGAUCAUCUCUAAUCACGAAUCUCAUUAUGCCACUCUGCCAUUCAGAAGAGUUGAGUGUGUCCACCUCUUUCCUAACAGCAUUUGGCAGAACACAGAAAGUAUGUUUUGUUUUUCAUUGAAUUUUGUGCCAGCUUCACGCUGGCCUGCCCCAGUCUGUAAUUUAGGCUAGCUCCAUUAUAUGGUUUACUAAUUAUGUAAUGUGACAUGCUCAUUAUUUCAGUUAUCUCUUGCAGGACAACUGGCUACCCCAAAAUUUAAUAGCUAAAAGCAAUCAUUUUUAUUUUGCUAAUGAUUUUUUGGGGUAAGGAAUGUAGAAACGGCUCCAAAGGGUGGUCGUUUCUGAUCAAUAUUGCAUCAGCUGGGGUGGAAGAAUCUUCUUCAAAAUAGCUUCUUUACUCACAUCUGGUGCCUUAGGGCUUCUUGACCUCUCUCUCUCUUCAUGUGGCUUCUCAUCCUCCAGGCUUUCUUCACUUGGCUUACCUUCUUGCAGCAAGGGUAUCUAAAAGAAGUCUCACUUUUUACACGGAAGCUAGAUUCCAAGAGGCAGGCAGUAGAAACUGCGCAGCUAGCUAAAGGCUAUAACAGAAAAAGGCAUGGCAACACUUCUACCAUAGUCUAUUAGUGAAGGCAGUUCCCAAGACCCUCAGAUUUAAGAGCACAGAGAAAUAGAUCCCAAUUCUAGAUGGGAAAAUGUCCAGGUCACGUUGAAGAAGAGCACAUAGGGCAAGAGACACUGUUGCACCUGUAUUUGCAAAAGUAAAUCUAUAUGCAUGCUAUUUCAUUCUUCUAAAAUACUGAGUGGCUGUAGCUCUCAACGCUAAUCGCUCUGUCUAUCCUACUCAAAUGCACUUCGGAGCAAUUGCUCAACUUUGCACAUUCUCUACGCAACCUCUCUCCAAAAUGCCCCUACAAUACUUAGUGUAAUCUCUUUUAUGUUAGAGUGGAACACCAUUGUCUAUUUACUGACAUAUUUAUCUCUCCCGCCAGAAUAUAAGGAUAAGCUCAUGUCUUAUUUACUUUAGAAUACCUUUUGUGUAACACAGAUGCUGGCAUAUAGUAGAUAUUAAAUACAUGUUCUAUUGAUCACAAGACUAAUAAAAGGAAUAAAUAAAUUGUCCUAUUCAUACAUGUAUUAUCUAUGCCUGGGGUACUUCCUGGAACAAGUUUAGUACCUGGUGAUUAUCAGCUUCCAAGAUGGCCCCCAAUAGUCUCCACCUCCUGAAUUCACACUCUUUGUAGUUCCUUCCUGCAUUGUGCCAGAGUUGGUCAAUGUGACCAACAGGAUAUAGUAGAAGGGAUGGUAUUAUGCUAUAAAAGACGUUCAAUUUUUAUCUCUUUCUCUCUCAUAAUUCACCCUGAGAGAAACCAGCUGCCUUGUUGCAAGCAGUCCUACGGAGAGGCCCACAUAGUGAGAAACUGAGGCCUUCUGCCAACAGCCAGAGGAGGGAGCUUGCAAGCAGACCCUCCAGCCCCAGCUAAGCUUCAGGUGACUGUCCAGGCAACGGCUGGAGUAAAACCUCACAAGACGUCCAGAGCUAGAGCCACCCAGCUCAGCUGCUCCCAGAUUUCUGACUCUCAGAAACCAUGUGAGAUAAUAAAUGCUUGCUGUUUUAAGCUGCUAAAUUUUGAAGUAGUUUUUUACACAGCAAGAGAUAAUUAUUUUAUUUACUAAUACAUAUUCGUGAAUGCCAUCCAACAUAGAAAGAAUGAAGCAGUUCCAUUCUUCUUCUUGGAUUUUUAGCUAAAGUAUUUUGUUGUUACUACGACAGACACCUGGGUGGUAAUUGCUAUUUCAAGCUGGACACCUGGGCUUUUUCUCCACUACAAAGAACCUCUCAGUUACUCCCAGAGAAAGUAAUGAUUUCACUUCUUGGAGUAAGUGUUUGUGCUAAUUAGCAGCAUGACGAAAUACAGCAUGUCAAGCAAAAAACUAUUUGUGCUUACCUUCCAACACAUUCUCUUACAGAGAGGACAUGAUGCCAGAGAAAUAAACAUUAAACUACUGUACACUAUCAGACUUUGCAAUGUAGCCUUACUUCACUAGCUUUGUAUUUCAAUCCCUAAUUACUAAACUGAUAAGAUUUCUGAUUAUUUUGGUUGAAAGAAAAAGCCCUCCUUUUGUCUCAACAAAAUUAGAACAUGAAAGAAAAAAAUAAAUACAUGAAAUUACCUAGAGAAUAUAUUAUUUAUAUCUGCUUCUAAGAAAUUCAGCAGGGGAUUUUUAAAAUGCUGGAUUAGUAAUUUUAUAAUCUUUUAUAUUCAAAUAUACUUCCAUGAAAUGUUAGC
rnacentral:lncRNA from 10 species